rnacentral:rRNA from 1 species
AAUCACGCGUAGAGUAUAAAGGCAAAAGCGCGCUUAACUGCGAGACCCACAAGUCGAGCAGGUACGAAAGUAGGUCUUAGUGAUCCGGUGGUUCUGUAUGGAAGGGCCAUCGCUCAACGGAUAAAAGGUACUCUGGGGAUAACAGGCUGAUACCGCCCAAGAGUUCAUAUCGACGGCGGUGUUUGGCACCUCGAUGUCGGCUCAUCUCAUCCUGGGGCUGAAGCAGGUCCCAAGGGUAUGGCUGUUCGCCAUUUAAAGAGGUACGCGAGCUGGGUUUAGAACGUCGUGAGACAGUUCGGUCCCUAUCUACCGUGGGCGUUGGAAAUUUGAGAGGAUCUGCUCCUAGUACGAGAGGACCAGAGUGGACGAACCUCUGGUGUACCGGUUGUCACGCCAGUGGCAUCGCCGGGUAGCUAUGUUCGGAAGGGAUAACCGCUGAAAGCAUCUAAGCGGGAAGCCUACCUCAAGAUAAGAUUUCCC